rnacentral:lncRNA from 1 species
GAAAUUCUCUACCUGUUCUUCAUCGGGGCUGUCGGAGAGAGAGGUUCCUUCCUAACACAUUGAAAAUUUAGUAAUUAUGAGGUCCCGGAGGAGGAGACAAAUAGGUAGUUUUGUGCACUUACAGUUCUAUGGACAGUGCAGCAAGUUGUUAUCGUAACAUAGAGAGGCAAGUUAGUUUACACUUUAUGUAAUUUUGGAGUUGACACUUUGAUUCAGG